UUUAAGGCUUUUCUAAAAGCCAAUAAAAUUUACUUUUUAGAAAUU
rfam:Onchocerca ochengi, WGS project CAWC01000000 data, contig: 01709_2742